ACGAUGAGAGUGACUGAGUUGUGUGCUUUUAUGUGGAGGUGAGCUGAUGGGUUGAUGGUGAAUAGGUGCUGGUGAUUAGAUGAUUGGAUGGUGAACAGGUGCUGGAGAUAAAUGCAUGAGUGAGGGAGUGUGCAGAGGGUGAUGAGCCUGACCGACUUGUGACACCCAUAGUGUGGCGUGUAUUUCAUAUGCCCGAUACUAUGUAUCUUCCUGAAGUCAGCGCAAACUUCAAUCCAUGUAUUCCACCGAUAUACUAGCGGAUUAUACAAUGCAAGGUUAUGUCAGAAAGAGUGACUGGAGGGAUAAAGAGCCAAAGCUCUGCUCACAGAGAGAAAACCAGCUAAAACUCUGGCCAUUGUCAUUGGUGUUUAUUUGUUAUGCUGGCUGCCUUUUUUUACUGUGUCUGUUCUAGACACUUUUUUUCAAUUUUUGGACCCCAGCUGUUGUUUGUAAUGCUUUGUUCUGGUUUGCAUAUUUCAACUCGACUUGUAACCCCUUGAUUUAUGGAUUUUUCUACACUUGUUUUCAGAAGGCCUUUAAGAUUCUCAUAUCCACUUAUAUCUGUGCCUUAAAGCAUUCUAAAACAUUAAUAUCUGAAUGAAUACUGCUAUCACACUUAUUUCAGGCAUCACAAUAAAUAUUUAUUUUUAUGUAAUUCUUUUUGUUCCAUAUAUGCUGAACCCAUUUUGCAAAUGUGUUUUACUGGAAGCUGUCCUACUAUUUUUAGUAAUCUAAUUAAAAAGAGGGGCACGCAUGCAGGGUUUGCACUAUAUUCAAAAUUUAUUUCAGCUAUUAUUAAACAAACUAAAUAGCCUGCAUUUCUGUGAAAUUAACAUUAUAAAUCGCUUUUAAUACUCAAACUCUUUUGAUCACAUUUCACAUUAAAAUAGUCUCCCUUUAGAAAAGCAGUCAUAUUUUAGGAGUUUGUUUGGUUUAAAUUUACUGAUUACGAUCCAGAUGAUUAAGGGAAGUAUCCUCAACUGAACCAACCUGGUCACACUUACAUCUAAUGUUUAAAAACUGAAAAAAGACAUGUGACAGAAAACCAGUUAUAAUUUGAAAGUUAAAAUGUUAAGAAAGACAUAAAAUGUCUAUAACCUACCUGUUGAGUGUGUGUUGACGGUCUUUGCAGUUGGAUGGUUUGGAGUUCCAAAAGCUUGAUUAUGAAGUGGCUCGUUUUGUAACUAUGUUGCAUUAUCUUUAUGUAUUUUAUGAUUCUAUUGUCAUUUAAGAGAAAAUGGCUAGAUGAACAUAGUAAAUAUUGCAUGAUAAGUAAUGGUUAAAUGAUUGUAGAAGUGAUUUUCAUUUAUCUUGUUUAGGGUUAAAUGAGUUUAAGCCCCCUCCCCCCC
ensembl:lncRNA